rnacentral:rRNA from 1 species
UACGUAGGGUGCGAGCGUUGCCCGGAUUUAUUGGGCGUAAAGGGCGCGUAGGCGGUGCGAUGCGUCCGUUGUGAAAUCGCCCGGCUCAACUGGGCGGGGUCAGCGGAUACGGUCUCACUCGAGCAAGCUAGGGGGCAAUGGAAUUCCCGGUGUAGUGGUGGAAUGCGUAGAUAUCGGGAGGAACACCAGUGGCGAAGGCGGUUGCCCGGGGCUUUGCUGACGCUGAGGCGCGAAAGCGUGGGGAGCGAGCCGG